UACAACGUUUGACUCUUCCUCUUAUUAAAAAUUUUUAUGAUUAAUAUUUUUCUAAUUAUUAGAUGAUAGAACAUGAAUAAUACUUUAUGUGUGACUAAAUUUUUUGAAAAAAAAUUAUAAAUUUUUCAAAUAAGAUGGAUGGUUAAACAUAGGACAC
rnacentral:pre_miRNA from 1 species